UUAGCAUAUCAUAAGCGGAGGAAAAGAAACCCACAGGGAUUGCUCUAGUAACGGCGAGUGAAGCAGCAAUAGCUCAAAUUUGAAAUCUGGCGUCUUCGGCGUCCGAGUUGUAAUUUGUAGAGGAUGCUUCUGGGCAGCCACCGACCUAAGUUCCUUGGAACAGGACGUCAUAGAGGGUGAGAAUCCCGUAUGCGGUCGGAAAGGCACCCUACACGUAGCUCCUUCGACGAGUCGAGUUGUUUGGGAAUGCAGCUCUAAAUGGGAGGUAAAUUUCUUCUAAAGCUAAACAUUGGCCAGAGACCGAUAGCGCACAAGUAGAGUGAUCGAAAGAUGAAAAGCACUUUGGAAAGAGAGUUAAAAAGCACGUGAAAUUGUUGAAAGGGAAGGGAUUGCAACCAGACUUGCUCGCGGUGUUCCGCCGGUCUUCUGACCGGUCUACUCGCCGCGUUGCAGGCCAGCAUCGUCUGGUGCCGCUGGAUAAGACUUGAGGAAUGUAGCUCCCUCGGGAGUGUUAUAGCCUCUUGUGAUGCAGCGAGCGCCGGGCGAGGUCCGCGCUUCGGCUAGGAUGCUGGCGUAAUGGUUGUAAUCCGCCCGUCUUGAAACACGGACCAAGGAGUCUAACAUCUAUGCGAGUGUUCGGGUGUCAAACCCCUACGCGUAAUGAAAGUGAACGGAGGUGAGAACCGCAAGGUGCAUCAUCGACCGAUCCUGAUGUCUUCGGAUGGAUUUGAGUAUGAGCAUAGCUGUUGGGACCCGAAAGAUGGUGAACUAUGCCUGAAUAGGGUGAAGCCAGAGGAAACUCUGGUGGAGGCUCGCAGCGGUUCUGACGUGCAAAUCGAUCGUCAAAUUUGGGUAUAGGGGCGAAAGACUAAUCGAACCAUCUAGUAGCUGGUUCCUGCCGA
rnacentral:rRNA from 1 species